GACCCGGUGGCGGACGGUUCCGCGCCCGCUCCUUAUAUCUCCAUCGAUGAGCCAUCCGCGGGAGUCUCUGGUUCGACGCCAGGCCGGGUUG